CAGUAGCCACGGGAACACGAAGGGUGCAAGCGUUACUCGGAAUUACUGGGCGUAAAGCGUGCGUAGGUGGUGGUUUAAGUCCGUUGUGAAAGCCCUGGGCUCAACCUGGGAAUUGCAGUGGAUACUGGGUCACUAGAGUGUGGUAGAGGAUAGUGGAAUUUCCGGUGUAGCAGUGAAAUGCGUAGAGAUCGGAAGGAACAUCUGUGGCGAAGGCGACUAUCUGGGCCAACACUGACACUGAGGCACGAAAGCGUGGGGAGCAAACAGGAUUAGAGACCCCCGUAGUCCCUGUCUCUUAUAC
rnacentral:rRNA from 1 species